GCUCGGUUGUUUAUCGACAGGUCCUCCUGGACGAUUGAGGGUAUAAGACUCUCCUUCAACAUGAAUGAGAUGACCAUUAGACUGACCACUGUGGCUUAAUGAACAAAGGCCUGCUGGUGCAGACACAGCCACUCGAGUUUGCAGCACAUCAGAUACGACUGGGUCCUGAUCGAGACCUGGAAAGAUACCAAACUACACCCGAGCUGGGAGGGACCAUUCUUAACCCUCCUGACUACUGAGACAGCCAUUCAAACUGCUGAGGAAGGGUGGAGUCAUCACACUCGCGUCAGAGGUCCUGUGAACGCCCCAUUGGCGGAGUGACACGCUCAUCCUACAGACAACCCUCUGAAAGUUAAUCUGAGAAAGAGGGAAUGAACUAAGGGUAUCAGUGCAGGGAUUUCUUAAGGUAAAGGCCCGGAAAUCUCAGUCACUUCAUCAACGAUCUUCCUGGCAUUAAAGGCUCACUCAUGGGGACGUUCGCUAUUGAUUGUAAAGUGUUCAGCAUCAUUUGCAACUCCUCAGAAAAUGAAUCAGUGUGUGUCCAAAUACAUCAGGAUCUGAACCACAGUCAGCCUUAGGCUGAUAGUGACAAGUUUUUAUGCCACACAAGUUUUCAAUAAUGGUCACUGCCAACAAGAGAGAAUCCAACCAUCUUUCCUUGAUGUGCAACUGUAUUACAAUUGCUGAAUUCCAAUCAAUCAACAUGCUCGGAGUAUUUAAUGGCAGAAAUUGAACUGAACCAGCCGUAUAACCAUCAUAGUUACACAAGCAGAUCAGAGGCAGGGAAUUCUUGGGCAAAUAACUCACUGCAUCUCUCCCUGAAGCCUGUCCAUUCCUGAUGAAGAGCUUAUGCUCUAAAUGUCGACUCUCCUCCUCCUCGGAUGCUGCCUGAC